UAAUGACCAUCAUUGAUUAUUAUAGACGUCAUCGAUUACUAAAUACAUGUUUGAUUAUUACAUACGCCAUUCAUAGUUAUUGAUUAUAUGCAGGAGAUAUAGUAUAAAUAGGAAAAUGAUAACGAAAUAAAACGAUCAACGUUUACGCCCAAAAAAGGUGGCGGUCUAUUGAUUAUGAAAACAGUUCUUAGCCAAUUUAAAUCGGCUGCUAUAACAGUUAAAAAAUGUUUGACAUACCCACAUCAAUUUACCCUGGUUCCAGAGGUUUAUUUUUAUUAUUUUCAUUGCGAAGGGGAAAGAAAAAAUAAACCUUUGGUUGAAAGCAACAAUUGAUUCAUUGAGCUGCGCCAAUCAGUUUGAAUUAGUGUCAGAUCCUGACUCUGUCUCCUGAUUGGAUGAUUGGAUAUUAAAGCUCUCUGAUUGGUUCAAAUAAAACAUCUAUAACCAAUCAGAGAGCUUUAAUACAAUCAUACAAUCAGGAGACAGAGUCAGG